AUUUUACUUUUAUUUCCAAAAGCUAUUUUUAAUACAGAUUCACAAUAGACAAUUAUUUAAUGGUUUAGACAAUUUUAUGCCAUAUACUUCUGGCCUCCAAGGUUUUAGAUGAGAAAUCUCCUGCCAUUUGUAUCGGCGCUCCCUAAAAGUUAAUAGUUUUUCUUGCACUUCUUUCAAGGUCUUUUUUCCUGUUAUUAGUUUUUAGGCUGAUUAAAAUGUGUCUCUGCAUGGACUUGUAUUAAUUUAUGCUCUGCUGGUUUACUUUUCGUCUUCAAUCUGUAUUUAUGUUUUCUGCCAAAUUUGAAAGAUUUUCAAAUACAUGCAUACUUUUAUUGUGCUUUGUUUUACUGCACUUCACAGAUAAUGCAUUCAUUACAGAUUAAAAUUUUGUGGUGAUCCUGGGUCCAGCAACUCUGUUGGCACCAUUUUUCCCAAAGCAUCUGUUCACUUCAUGUCUCUUUGUCACCCUUUGGUUUUCAGACAUUCAACAAAUUCAGAGUAUUUCCCACUACGAGUAUUGUCUUGUUUACUUUGGAAGAUGACUUAGGGUAAAAAUUUGCCAUUCUUUACAUUCAUAGGGGUCAUGUCCUUUGUGAAUUUUCUGUGGUAUUUUGAGGUAUGGAUCAUAAGAGAAAGAUUUCUCUCACUGCUGUAUUUAUAAAUUUUCUUCCCCUGUGUGUAACCUUGGAUGUAUUGUGAUAACUGAUUUCUUGGAGGUUUUCUCACUCUCAAUACAUUCACAGGGUUUCUCUCCUGUGUGAAUUCUCUGGUGUACUCUGAGAUAUGACUUAUGGUAGAAGAUUUUCUACAUUCCUUACAUUCAUAGCGUUUCUCUCCUGUGUGGCCUCGCUGAUGUAAAGUGAGGAGAGAUUUGCGAGAGAAGCAUUUCCCACAUUCCUUACAUUCAUAGGGUUUCUCUCUUGUAUGUGUUUUCUGAUGUUUGGUGAGUUUUGACUCUUUGCAGAAUGUUUUUCCACAUUCAUUACAUUCAUAGACUUUGCCUCCUAUGUGUGUUCUCUGAGUUAUAUUAAGAACUGACUUCUCCCCCAAAGGGUUCUCCCAAGUUGUUAUAUUCAAAUAUUCUCUCUCCUGUGCCAAGAAAGUCUGAUCUCCCAUUGAAAUUAUCCACUCUUCCAAUAUACUCAUAACCUUUCACCUCUAAAUGAACUCUGUGUUCCAAGAGAGAUGAUUUCUCAAAAGUUGUAGCAUAUUCUUGAAACUCAUAAAGAUUUUUUGUUCUUUGUGCCAUCCUGCUGACCAUGAGGGUUGAAUUACUACAGAAUGUUUUAUCAGAUUCAUUAUGUUCACAAGGACUCUGUCCUAUGUAAGCUUGGUUAUAUGGGAUGACAACUGCCGUCUCAUGGAAAGCUUUCCCACAUUCCUUGUAUUCCUUAUUGCUUUGAACAAAGAUUUGCUCUAUAUUUUUAGUUCUCUGAUAUGGGAUUAAAUCAUCAUUAUGACUGAGGUAUUUUCCAUUUUGAAUGAAUUCAUAAGGUUUCUUUCCCAUUUGAGGUUGUUCAUGGUUAAUCUGAAGAAACGAUUGUUCCUUACUGUAUUGAGGCCAAAAGCCUUCUUACUUAAAUAGGUUUUCUUAUUAAUAAUUAAUUCUGAAAUACAUUUCAAAUUCAUACCACAAGAGUCACACCUACACGGUAUUUUUAUGGAAGGAACUGUGUCUGUGCUGAAAUUAAAAAUUUUUCCUAAUACA